rnacentral:rRNA from 1 species
CCUACGGGAGGCAGCAGUGGGGAAUAUUGCACAAUGGGGGGAACCCUGAUGCAGCGACGCCGCGUGGGUGAAGGAGUACUUCGGUACGUAAAGCCCUAUCAGCAGGAAAGAAAAUGACGGUACCUGACUAAGAAGCCCCGGCUAACUACGUGCCAGCAGCCGCGGUAAUACGUAGGGGGCAAGCGUUAUCCGGAUUUACUGGGUGUAAAGGGAGCGUAGACGGCAGUGCAAGUCCGGAGUGAAAGCCCGGGGCUCAACCCUGGGACUGCUCUGGAAACUGUAAAGCUGGAGUGCGGGAGGGGCAG